rnacentral:rRNA from 1 species
GAUGAACGCUGGCGGCGUGCUUAACACAUGCAAGUCGAACGGAAAGGCCCUGCUUUUGUGGGGUGCUCGAGAGGCGAACGGGGGAGUAAAACGUGAGUAACCUGUCCUUGAAUGUGGGAUAACUUCAGGAAACUGGGGCGAAUAUAGGAUAGGAGCUCUUGCUGCAUGGGGGGGGUUGGAAAGUUUCGGCGGUGGGGGAUGGAAUCGCGGCAUAUGAGCUUGUUGGGCGGGUAGGGGCUGACCAAGGGUUUGACGGGUAGGCGGCCUGGGAGGGUGACCGGCCACCUUGGGCCUGAGAUACGGACCAGACUCCUACGGGAGGCAGCAGUGGGGAAUAUUGCACAGUGGGCGGAAGCCUGAUGCAGCAACGCCGCGUGCGGGAUGCCGGCCUUCGAGUUGUGAACCGCUUUCGCCUGAGACGAAGCGUGAUUGACGGUAAUGGAUAAAGAAGCACCGGCUAACUACGUG